rnacentral:lncRNA from 1 species
AUGAGGAGGGACGAAGAUGCGGUCUUUUCGGAGUUCAGGAAUAAAAAGAAGAAAGUAGAAUAUUUGAUUGAUUCUCACCAAUCCGAAAGAGCCACUCAAUCCAUACAGGAUCCUGAGAUAUCUUCUGAAAGACAUGCUCUAAUUGUUUCACCAUAUAUGAAUCAUGGAAAUCGAGUUCAUCCCAUGCCUUAUACAUAUUCAUCUAUUCCAUGUAAUCGAGAAUGA